rnacentral:rRNA from 1 species
GAUGAACGCUAGCGGCAGGCCUAAUACAUGCAAGCCGAACGGCAAGAACUUUAGCAAUAGAGUUCCUAGAGUGGCGUAAGGGUGCGUAACACGUAUGCAAUCUGCCCGCAACAGGAGGAUAGCUCCCCGAAAGGGGAAUUAAGACUCCAUAAGAUCACAGGAAGGCAUCUGAGAGUGAUUAAACUACCAGGGGUUGCGGAUGAGCAUGCGCAUGAUUAGUUAGUUGGCGGGGUAACGGCCCACCGAGACGAUGAUCAUUAGGGGAACUGAGAGGUUGAUCCCCCAACUGGCACUGAGAUACGGGCCAGACUCCUACGGGAGCAGCAGUAGGGAAUAUUGGACAAUGGGUGCAAGCCUGAUCCAGCCAUGCCGCGUGCAGGAAGAAAGCCUUCUGGGUUGUAAACUGCUUUUGCCAGGGGAUAAAAACACUUUGCGAAGUGGAUUGAAGGUACCUGGUG